rnacentral:rRNA from 1 species
AGCGAACGUUAGCGGCGGGCCUAACACAUGCAAGUCGAACGAGAAAACCUUCGGGUGAGUAAAGUGGCGCACGGGUGAGGAACGCGUAGGUAAUCUACCCUCUGGCGGGGGACAACACUCCGAAAGGAAUGCUAAUACCGCAUAAGACCACGCUUACUAAGGUGAGAGUGGUAAAAGGCGCCUCAAAGCGCCACCAGAGGAUGAGCCUGCGUCCCAUCAGCUUGUUGGUGAGGUAAAAGCUUACCAAGGCUAAGACGGGUAGCUGGUCUGAGAGGAUGAUCAGCCACACUGGUACUGGAACACGGACCAGACUCCUACGGGAGGCAGCAGUGAGGAAUAUUGGGCAAUGGGCGAAAGCCUGACCCAGCCACGCCGCGUGUGUGAUGAAGGCCUUCGGGUCGUAAAGCACUGUGGGGAGAGACGAACCUACGCAGGAGGAAAUGCCUGCGUACUGACGGUACCUCCUUAGCAAGCACCGGCUAACUCUGUG